rnacentral:lncRNA from 8 species
UGACAGUGAUGUGUGAUUAUUUCAAUACUUACAUUAUAGAGCAAAGCGUUAAUCCAAUUAAAUACACAGACAGCUUUUUAUUUCUAUAUUUUGCAGAAUUUCUAAGAGGUGUUAGUGAAGUGGCACCAGAGCAAGAGUCGGCGGUUCAGGCUGGACAAACAGAGGCAACACAAGAAGCAGAACCACAUGCACCCCCAGAAGAACAAGUCUCAUUUAUGGACAUCACCAUGACUUCGGUGGAGACCCCUAUGGAUUCUGCAGUACCAGACAGCAGCAAUUCUGCCUCUACUCAUGGGUCAUCUGAGCUUGCCUGAAUGGACACAGUGGAAAAUGGCAAUCAGGCCCUGAUGUUCAUGGAAUGUUAGAAAACAGCCGAUUAGCUGGGUCAUCUAUCUUGUUCACUGAAACUACAUAUACAGAUGUUGCUGAUUGGGCUGUCAUACUCAACCUAUAACUGCUAGGGAGUACAGCGCUCAACACCAUACAGUUUUCAUACUUGACUCAAGGUGAUAGAACAAGCGUACCUUGAAUAGCAGACUGUCAAGAUGGCACGGUUGAUUGUCGAGGCAUAAGAAGGAAUUGGAGUGGAGGAAUGCGGGGAUGGCCGUUUCGACAGCCCUGGCUACUCAGCAAAAUACACCACAGCAAAAUACACUACAGCUUUAAGGAUGAUGCCACAAAGGAGAUAAUCCACUUUGAGCUGAUUCAGGUUAGUAGCCUAUUAGUUCUUUUUUAAGAGUAGACAUACAAGCCGCUCAUAUAGCAUCCUCAUUUUUAGAUGUUCACUGUUUGUCCUACAGGUUACAGAGGCCACCAGCUCUGUUGCCAUGGAAAUGGUUGAUUUUGAAAGGGGACUUGAGUAUUUACUAGACAAUGGAAUUAGUGUAGAUGGGGUGGCCACCGACAGAUCGCCAUCCAUCCGCAAGAAAAUCUGAGAGUCAUACCCUGGCAUCAAACAUGAGUUUGACACCUGGCAUGUAGCUAAAAUGUAGCUCAAACACCUGGCAUGUAGCUAAAAUGUAGCUCAAACACCUGGCAUGUUGCUAAAAUUAAGUUGUAGCUAAAAUUAAGUUACACAUCUAAAAUUUGAGGCAAUCACGACUGCACUACUACAACAUUGUAUAUACUCUAGGUCAUACUCAAAUGAUCUUUAUGUAUUGUGGC